ACGCAUUCUAAGAACACAUUCAACCACAUGCGCUGAAGGCUAUAAACUGGGCUAUUUGCUGAACGAGGCCAAAAACAUUUAGGCUUGCGACACUCCAGUGGAAACGGAACUGUGUUUAGUUUUAAGGAAGACUUCACCACGGCCGGAGACCCAAGUCCAUGACCUAAAAAGAAAUAGUUGAUCUCCUGCAACACCACUUUGUAGGCUGUUUGAAUACUUAUUCGUGGAAUAUAUAUACGAACAGCCUAUGUUGAAGUGGGUGAACACAACCCCAAGAAGAGUGCCUCCCCUCUAGGUCACGUGACCUUGACCCCUCUCCGACUGCAGUUCCGUUGUUUUUCAGAAUUAGGCGAAGUUUCCGUUCCUCUGGAAGAUCGCGAACCUGUUUGUUUUUGAUUUCGUUCAGUAUAUACCCCAGUUUAUAGCAGUCAGCGGAUGUGGUCGAGGUCUUAGAAUGUAUUCCAGAGUCCGUGUAUUGGAAAAUUGCUCAACGAACUCCCCUGGGUGGUCAGUUGGUCUGUGAGAUUCUGGAGAGAGCGUGACACGCUGUCACAAUCCGAAUAUAAAUGUCUGAUGGUGGCUUCGAAUAAAGCUCCCGAAUAAGCAAAAUAAUGGGCAACUAGAUGACUGGAUAUGUGCCACUGUUCCGAAUCUCAGGAAAAUCCUUAAUGAGCUGGGACUGAAACUAUGCUCUUUCCAAGCUGAAGCUAGAGCGACGAACAAUAACAAAAUUAAUUGUUAAAUCUGAUUAUAAUAAGUGUAACUUUUUAGUGGAGCCACUUAAAUAUAUUUAAGUAUACUUCCAUCAUUAA